AACGAGACCUUAACCUGCUAAAUAGCCAGGCCGGCUUUCGCUGGUCGCCGGCUUCUUAGAGGGACUGUCAGCGUCUAGCUGACGGAAGUUUGAGGCAAUAACAGGUCUGUGAUGCCCUUAGAUGUUCUGGGCCGCCCCCG
rnacentral:rRNA from 1 species